GGGACACGUGGUAUCCUGUCUGAAUAUGGGGGGACCAUCCUCCAAGGCUAAAUACUCCUGACUGACCGAUAGUGAACCAGUACCGUGAGGGAAAGGCGAAAAGAACCCCGGCGAGGGGAGUGAAAAAGAACCUGAAACCGUGUACGUACAAGCAGUGGGAGCCUCUUAAUGGGGUGACUGCGUACCUUUUGUAUAAUGGGUCAGCGACUUAUAUUCUGUAGCAAGGUUAACCGAAUAGGGGAGCCGAAGGGAAACCGAGUCUUAACUGGGCGUUAAGUUGCAGGGUAUAGACCCGAAACCCGGUGAUCUAGCCAUGGGCAGGUUGAAGGUUGGGUAACACUAACUGGAGGACCGAACCGACUAAUGUUGAAAAAUUAGCGGAUGACUUGUGGCUGGGGGUGAAAGGCCAAUCAAACCGGGAGAUAGCUGGUUCUCCCCGAAAGCUAUUUAGGUAGCGCCUCGUGAAUUCAUCUCCGGGGGUAGAGCACUGUUUCGGCAAGGGGGUCAUCCCGACUUACCAACCCGAUGCAAACUGCGAAUACCGGAGAAUGUUAUCACGGGAGACACACGGCGGGUGCUAACGUCCGUCGUGAAGAGGGAAACAACCCAGACCGCCAGCUAAGGUCCCAAAGUCAUGGUUAAGUGGGAAACGAUGUGGGAAGGCCCAGACAGCCAGGAUGUUGGCUUAGAAGCAGCCAUCAUUUAAAGAAAGCGUAAUAGCUCACUGGUCGAGUCGGCCUGCGCGGAAGAUGUAACGGGGCUAAACCAUGCACCGAAGCUGCGGCAGCGACGCUUAUGCGUUGUUGGGUAGGGGAGCGUUCUGUAAGCCUGUGAAGGUGGCCUGUGAGGGUUGCUGGAGGUAUCAGAAGUGCGAAUGCUGACAUAAGUAACGAUAAAGCGGGUGAAAAGCCCGCUCGCCGGAAGACCAAGGGUUCCUGUCCAACGUUAAUCGGGGCAGGGUGAGUCGACCCCUAAGGCGAGGCCGAAAGGCGUAGUCGAUGGGAAACAGGUUAAUAUUCCUGUACUUGGUGUUACUGCGAAGGGGGGACGGAGAAGGCUAUGUUGGCCGGGCGACGGUUGUCCCGGUUUAAGCGUGUAGGCUGGUUUUCCAGGCAAAUCCGGAAAAUCAAGGCUGAGGCGUGAUGACGAGGCACUACGGUGCUGAAGCGACAAAUGCCCUGCUUCCAGGAAAAGCCUCUAAGCAUCAGGUAACAUCAAAUCGUACCCCAAACCGACACAGGUGGUCAGGUAGAGAAUACCAAGGCGCUUGAGAGAACUCGGGUGAAGGAACUAGGCAAAAUGGUGCCGUAACUUCGGGAGAAGGCACGCUGAUAUGUAGGUGAAGCGACUUGCUCGUGGAGCUGAAAUCAGUCGAAGAUACCAGCUGGCUGCAACUGUUUAUUAAAAACACAGCACUGUGCAAACACGAAAGUGGACGUAUACGGUGUGACGCCUGCCCGGUGCCGGAAGGUUAAUUGAUGGGGUUAGCGGUAACGCGAAGCUCUUGAUCGAAGCCCCGGUAAACGGCGGCCGUAACUAUAACGGUCCUAAGGUAGCGAAAUUCCUUGUCGGGUAAGUUCCGACCUGCACGAAUGGCGUAAUGAUGGCCAGGCUGUCUCCACCCGAGACUCAGUGAAAUUGAACUCGCUGUGAAGAUGCAGUGUACCCGCGGCAAGACGGAAAGACCCCGUGAACCUUUACUAUAGCUUGACACUGAACAUUGAGCCUUGAUGUGUAGGAUAGGUGGGAGGCUUUGAAGUGUGGACGCCAGUCUGCAUGGAGCCGACCUUGAAAUACCACCCUUUAAUGUUUGAUGUUCUAACGUGGGCCCCUUACCGGGGUUGCGGACAGUGUCUGGUGGGUAGUUUGACUGGGGCGGUCUCCUCCUAAAGAGUAACGGAGGAGCACGAAGGUUGGCUAAUCCUGGUCGGACAUCAGGAGGUUAGUGCAAUGGCAUAAGCCAGCUUGACUGCGAGCGUGACGGCGCGAGCAGGUGCGAAAGCAGGUCAUAGUGAUCCGGUGGUUCUGAAUGGAAGGGCCAUCGCUCAACGGAUAAAAGGUACUCCGGGGAUAACAGGCUGAUACCGCCCAAGAGUUCAUAUCGACGGCGGUGUUUGGCACCUCGAUGUCGGCUCAUCACAUCCUGG
rnacentral:rRNA from 1 species